AGAGUUUGAUCAUGGCUCAGAACGUACGCUGGCGGCACGCCUAACACAUGCAAGUCGAACGAAGUAGCAAUACUUAGUGGCAGACGGGUGAGUAACAUGUGGGUAUCUGCCCUUUGGCCUGGAAUAACACGAGGAAACUUGUGCUAAUACCGGAUAAGUCUUUACGGAGAAAGCUUUAUGCACCAUUGGAUGAGCCUGCACUUGAUUAGUUUGUUGGUGGGGUAAUGGCCUACCAAGACUGUGAUCAAUAGCUGAUUUGAGAGGAUGAUCAGCCACAUUGGGACUGAGACACGGCCCAAACUCCUACGGGAGGCAGCAGUGGGGAAUCUUGCACAAUGGAGGAAACUCUGAUGCAGCGAUGCCGCGUGAGUGAAGAAGGCCCUUGGGUUGUAAAGCUCUUUCGUCGGGGAAGAAAAUGACUGUACCCGAAUAAGAAGGUCCGGCUAACUUCGUGCCAGCAGCCGCGGUAAUACGAAGGGACCUAGCGUAGUUCGGAAUUACUGGGCUUAAAGAGUUCGUAGGUGGUUGAAAAAGUUAGUGGUGAAAUCCCAGAGCUUAACUCUGGAACUGCCAUUAAAACUUUUCAGCUAGAGUAUGAUAGAGGAAAGCAGAAUUUCUAGUGUAGAGGUGAAAUUCGUAGAUAUUAGAAAGAAUACCAAUUGCGAAGGCAGCUUUCUGGAUCAUUACUGACACUGAGGAACGAAAGCAUGGGUAGCGAAGAGGAUUAGAUACCCUCGUAGUCCAUGCCGUAAACGAUGUGUGUUAGACGUUGGAAAUUUAUUUUCAGUGUCGCAGGGAAACCGAUAAACACACCGCCUGGGGAGUACGACCGCAAGGUUAAAACUCAAAUGAAUUGACGGGGACCCGCACAAGUAGUGGAGCAUGUGGUUUAAUUCGAAGAUACGCGCAGAACCUUACCAACACUUGACAUGUUCGUCGCGACUUUAAGAGAUUAGAGUUUUCGGUUCGGCCGGACGAAACACAGGUGCUGCAUGGCUGUCGUCAGCUCGUGUCGUGAGAUGUUGGGUUAAGUCCCGCAACGAGCGCAACCCUCACUUUUAGUUGCCAUCAUUAAGUUGGGCACUCUGAAAGAACUGCCAGUGAUAAGCUGGAGGAAGGUGGGGAUGACGUCAAGUCCUCAUGGCCCUUACGUGUUGGGCUACACACGUGCUACAAUGGUAUCUACAACAGGAAGCAAGACUGCGAAGUUAAGCAAAUCCCUAAAAGAUACCUCAGUUCGGAUUGCACUCUGCAACUCGAGUGCAUGAAGCUGGAAUUACUAGUAAUCGUGGAUCAGCGUGCCACGGUGAAUGCGUUCCCGGGUCUUGUACACACCGCCCGUCACACCAUGGGAGUUGGUUCUACCUUAAGGCAAGGUUUCAAACCCUUGACCACGGUAUAGUCAGCGACCUGGGGUGAAGUCGUAACAAGGUA
rnacentral:rRNA from 1 species